rnacentral:rRNA from 1 species
ACGCACGCUGGCGGCAUGCCUAACACAUGCAAGUCGAACGAGACCUUCGGGUCUAGUGGCGCACGGGUGCGUAACGCGUGGGAACCUGCCCUUAGGUUCGGAAUAACUCCCCGAAAGGGGUGCUAAUACCGGACAAUGUCUUCGGACCAAAGAUUUAUCGCCUUUGGAUGGGCCCGCGUUGGAUUAGCUAGUUGGUAGGGUAAAAGCCUACCAAGGCGACGAUCCAUAGCUGGUCUGAGAGGAUGAUCAGCCACACUGGGACUGAGACACGGCCCAGACUCCUACGGGAGGCAGCAGUGGGGAAUAUUGGACAAUGGGCGAAAGCCUGAUCCAGCAAUGCCGCGUGAGUGAUGAAGGCCUUAGGGUUGUAAAGCUCUUUUACCCGGGAUGAUAAUGACAGUACCGGGAGAAUAAGCUCCGGCUAACUCCGUG